rnacentral:misc_RNA from 1 species
GGCAUUCCGAAAUUGCAUAUCAAUCAAGUAUAUAGGUACACAUCUUUCAAAAGAAAUAAAAAGAAAAGGUCUGACAAAAGUACAUCCUCAUAAUUAAUUUUAGGCCAGGCGAAUUUCACGAUAAACCCCGGCCAAUUGCUAAAGAGAUUUUACUUCAAACAAGAUUGUUGCCUACCAUCUGGGAUUGCAAAUAGGACUAUCGGUUUCGAUGGCCUGACAUAUGGAACAUCGCAUCUGAAAUAGCCCUUCCUCUCUAACUGCAAUAUGUCUCCACGCUUUAUGUUUCGCAUGUUUGAAUCCCCAACAGCAACCGUCUCCUUUUUUGUGCAUGGAUUUAAUACAUCAAGAAAAUCCUCCCCUUCUUCAAGCUUCUUUUUUGUGAUUAAAUAAUCAUACUCCAUAAGUGAGAGGGUGACUAGUUCGUUUAUAUCAGGCAGCCAAGUGGCCUUCAACUUCGUGGUCUUCACAGAACCUUCGAGAUGCAAAAUUCCUGACAAAUGUGUAACAAAUCCAUCUUGAUCCUUCUCGAUGCCUUUCACUAUUGCAUUACCCCAGUCCAUUAGGGUGAUUUCUUCAUCCACCUUGAUACAUUGUGCAUCCACUUGGUCGAUCCAUAUCCUCUUUGUGAAAGUGGAAGAUUUUUCACCAGCACCUUCAUAUUUUUUAUGCUUUGGCACUACUCGAAUAAAUGGUAUCUCUGGACCAUUAUCAAGGGUAAAUAGCACACGUCGUUCUUCUAUAACAGCAGUAUGUCUGGGACACACAGGAUCGAUAAUCUUCUUAUUAAUGGUCCAUAGUUUAUCCCAUUCCAUAAGAUUGAGAUUUUUUGAUGCCCCCUGU